rnacentral:rRNA from 1 species
AUUGAACGCUGGCGGCAGGCAUAACACAUGCAAGUCGAGCGGAGCGGCGGACGGGUGAGUAAUGCCUAGGAAUCUGCCUGGUAGUGGGGGAUAACGUCCGGAAACGGGCGCUAAUACCGCAUACUAUCAGAUGAGCCUAGGUCGGAUUAGCUAGUGGGUGGGGUAAAGGCCUACCAAGGCGACGAUCCGUAACUGGUCUGAGAGGAUGAUAAGGCAAACUGGAACGGAGACAUGGUCCAGACUCCUACGUGAGGCAGCAGUGGGGAAUAUUGGACAAUGGGCGAAAGCCUGAUCCAGCUAUGCCGCGUGUGUGAAGAAGGUCUUCGGAUUGUAAAGCACUUUAAGUUGGGAGGCGUGACCAACAGAAUAAGCACCGGCUAACUUCGUGCCAGCCGCCGCGGUAAUAC